rnacentral:rRNA from 1 species
GUACACUCCUGCGGGAGGCAACAGUGGGGAAUAUUGGACAAUGGGCGCAAGCCUGAUCCAGCCAUGCCGCGUGAGUGAUGAAGGCCCUAGGGUUGUAAAGCUCUUUCACCGGUGAAGAUAAUGACGGUAACCGGAGAAGAAGCCCCGGCUAACUUCGUGCCAGCAGCCGCGGUAAUACGAAGGGGGCUAGCGUUGUUCGGAUUUACUGGGCGUAAAGCGCACGUAGGCGGACUAUUAAGUCAGGGGUGAAAUCCCGGGGCUCAACCCCGGAACUGCCUUUGAUACUGGUAGUCUUGAGUUCGAGAGAGGUGAGUGGAAUUCCGAGUGUAGAGGUGAAAUUCGUAGAUAUUCGGAGGAACACCAGUGGCGAAGGCGGCUCACUGGCUCGAUACUGACGCUGAGGUGCGAAAGCGUGGGGAGCAAACAGGAUUAGAAACCCUAGUAGUCCCAUGA